GGAGGCAGCAACACUGAAGAGACUGGUUGUCGGUAGUGCAUGUUUCAGAUGCUUAGCUGGGUAUAUAAGUACUAGAAAUGUGGUCCCACUUUCUGAUUAGAAAGUAUUCUCAGCAGCCCCCUCCUGCGUGCGUGAGUCCUGACCUCUACUGACCUCUGGAGGGGAGAAGGUAGCUUCUCGCAGUCCUGUUCAGCACAGCUCAUAUGUAUCAAGGUGUGCUGUGCUGCAGCAUCCAUUCAAGUGAAGGUUGCCUCUCCUAAACUCCUGGUUUUGUCCUUCAUCGUGGUCUGCCUCUCUUCUCUCUGUCUCUGUCUCUCUCGGUUGCUCUCUCUCUCUCUCCCUCUCUCUGUGCCUUUCAGCUACUGCUUGUCGCUUGUAUGCUAUACCUUCUAACACCCAUCAAUGUGGCAAGCCUGUGCUGCAGCAGGAUAGAAGGAGUUGGGGCUGCUAAAUUCCGAAGAAUUUCUACAUCUGAGGACUAAUACCAUCACAGGGCCCGUUUUCUGCAUAAGAGAUUGGUUAUGAGAGAAGGCUGACGGCUGCUGCAUGAAGUGCAUUAUUACCUCGUGAUACUGUGACCCUCCUCUAUGCAUCCCUAACUCUCCAAAGCUGAUUCAGCUUUCAGCUAGUGCUCUGGUGACACAACUGCUGCAACAGAAUCUCUGAUCUGCGUCGCCACUCUGGCCACAUUGUUAGGGGAGGUUUAAAGCUCAGCCCGGAAUGACUGUGAAGCAGACAGAGAAAGACAGAGACUGAGAAAGAGCGACUGAAAGCACAGGAUGGGACUGGAAAUCAUGAGGGGCCGAACCGGUGCUGCGUCCGGCCUUAUGAAAUCUCUGUUGUGGGGAAGCCUUGCUGUCUAACAGCGACUUACAAGUGAACUGUCAGUGAUGGCAACAGAUGUGUGCUUCAGCUGCACCAAGACUAAAUGUGCAUGCACCCUAAAAUCAAGAAGUAAUCCCGGGAGAAAUUACAUACCCACCAGUCAAAAUUCUGGUUUAGGAGACCCCAUAAUUAAUGGAAUUUGUCAUUUGAACCUAGGAAACUCUGAAGAGGACAAAAGUGCCUGUCUGCAAUUUUCUAGGAGACGUUAAUGUCUGUUCUUAAACUUUCAAAUGCGAAAUGCUUAUCUGCCAAUAAAUAAGAUAUAGAAUAGUCGAAUACUUAGAGAACUACAUACAGUAAAUGAACAGUGAUAGGCUAAAAUACCAUUAAAAAGUUGAUGUGGCUGAAAUUUUACCAGUGCAAUUGGUAAGUACAAUAUUAUUCUACGUAGCAGUGGAUCUGCAAAGUGGCUGUAUGCUGAUUAAGAUAUGAUAAUCGAUUACAUUCUUACAGAAAAUGUGAAUGUUUUUUUAAUUGAUAAAUCAAUAUUUCAGAUAAACAACUGCCCUUUCUUGAGUCAAAUGCUUUGCUAAAGCUGGUAAAAUGGAACCAAAUCAACUCUUCUAUGGAUUUGGUCCCCUUCAACCAGCUGUAGCUGUGCAUUGAUCGCCACAGCAUGAGCUGGAGACAGAGAACGUGCCUGAGCUGAAACUGUCAAUGAAGGCUGAAGAUAAACAGCUAUGAAGACAUUGUCAAUAGGGAAAUUAUGAUGCUUGACAUCUACAAAUAUAUCAUGUUCACGUAAACUGAUAGGCUGAACCCUAAUCAAGUAGGCCUGUAGAUAUCUAAGAGCAUAUGGAAAGAGAAAUCUUUAUUCCUUUCAAAGUGUUAUACUUUUUCCCCUAACAUGAAAUCGUGAUGCAUAAAAGCAAUAUCUUUCUUAUGUAGUCAGCUUGUAAUAUUAGUUAAUCAAUACUUGUACAAGUUGUGUGUUGAUUAUAUAAAUAAAUGGUUUAAUCUCUUU